UACGUAGGUGGCGAGCGUUGUCCGGAUUUACUGGGCGUAAAGCGCACGUAGGCGGCUUUGUAAGUUAGAGGUGAAAGCCCGGGGCUCAACUCCGGAACUGCCUUUAAGACUGCAUCGCUUGAAUCCGGGAGAGGUGAGUGGAAUUCCGAGUGUAGAGGUGAAAUUCGUAGAUAUUCGGAAGAACACCAGUGGCGAAGGCGGCUCACUGGACCGGCAUUGACGCUGAUGUGCGAAAGCGUGGGGAGCAAACAGG
rnacentral:rRNA from 1 species